CUUGGUCAUUUAGAGGAAGUAAAAGUCGUAACAAGGUUUCUGUAGGUGAACCUGCGGAAGGAUCAUUAUCGUACAACCGAGGUGCAUGGGCUGUCGCUGACCUUCAAAGGUUGUGCACGCCCAAGCGCUCUCACACAUCCAUCUCACCUUUGUGCAUCACCGCGUGGGUCCCCUUUGCAGGAGGGCUUGCGUUUUCACAUAAAACUUGAUACAGUGUAGAAUGUUUUAUUUGCGGUCACACGCAAUCAAUACAACUUUCAACAACGGAUCUCUUGGCUCUCGCAUCGAUGAAGAACGCAGCGAAAUGCGAUACGUAAUGUGAAUUGCAGAAUUCAGUGAAUCAUCGAAUCUUUGAACGCACAUUGCGCUCUCUGGUAUUCCGGAGAGCAUGCUUGUUUGAGUAUCAGUAAAACACCCUCAGUUCUCUUUAUGAGAAUUGGACUUGAGUGAUCCCAACGGCGGUUUCCGAACCACUGGCGGGUCACUUGAAAUGCAGGUGCGGCUGGACACAUCUUCUGAGCUAUAAGCAUUACUUAUUUAGUCCCGUCAGACGGAUUAUUUCUACUGCUACAGCUAAUAUAAAGGUCGAUUGUCCGUUUGCCCGACUGAUGCAGAAAAAACAAAGAGAGAUCUUUGUUCACUCGAUCUCAAAUCAAGUAAGACUACCCGCUGAACUUAAGCAUAUCAAUAAGCGGAGGA
rnacentral:rRNA from 1 species